rnacentral:rRNA from 1 species
CCUACGGGAGGCAGCAGUGAGGAAUAUUUGUCAAUGGGAGAGAUCCUGAACCAGCCAAGCCGCGUGAGGGAAGACGGCCCUAUGGGUUGUAAACCUCUUUUGUCGGAGAACAAAACCCGGGACGAGUACCGGACUGCGUGUAUCCGAAGAAAAAGCAUCGGCUAACUCCGGUCAAGCAGCCGCGGUAAUACGGAGGAUGCGAGCGUUAUCAGGAUUUAUUGGGGUAAAAGGGGGGGUAGGUGGUCUGUUAAGUCAGCGGUAAAAUUGCGGGGCGCAACCCCGUCGAGCCGUUGAGACUGGCAGACUUGAGUUGGCGAGAGGUACGCGGAAUGCGCGGUGUAGCGGUGAAAUGCAUAGAUAUCGCGCAGAACUCCGAUUGCGAAGGCAGCGUACCGGCGCCAGACUGACGCUGAGGCACGAAAGCGUGGGGAUCGAACAGGAUUAGAUACCCCUGUAGUC